GGGUAGUUGUCCGAACGGUGAGGUCACGGUCUGCAAAAUCAUGUAAGAGGGUUCGACUCCCUCACUGCCCU
rnacentral:tRNA from 1 species